UGGUGUUCUUCUGGCGUGCCCCCGGGACGUCCUGCUGCCGAGCUCAUCCCGCGAGGGGCGGCUCAACUUGAUAAUCCAUCAUCGCGGUGCUCUUCAUUGAGUGUCGAGGUGGGGCGGGCGACGAUUACUUUUGCAACAAAAUUAGAGUGCUUAACGCAGGAUAAUAUUUCGCGUGAAUACUGUGUAUAUGGAAUAAGGGAAUAGGACCUCGGUUUAUAUUUUGUUGGUUUUCGGCACCCCCGAGGUAAUGAUUUAUAGGAACGGAUGGGCACUUUCGUAGUGCGACGUGAGAGGAGAAAUUCUUGUAUUGUCGCAAGACGGAAUAAAGAGAAAGCAUUUGCCAAAAACGCUUUCAUUUAUCAAGAAAGAAAGUGAGAGGUUCGAAGGAGAUCAGAUACCGCCCUAGUUCUAACCAUAAACUACGCCAGCGAGCGAUCCGCCGAUGUCCCUCUGAUGACUCGGCGGGCAGCCUCCGGGAAACCAAAGCUUUUGGGUUCCGGGGGAAGUAUGGUUGCAAAGCUGAAACUUAAAGGAAUUGAGGGAAGGGCCCCCCCAGGAGUGGCGCGUGCGGCUUAAUUUGACUCAACACGGGAAACCUCCCCAGCCCCAGACACGGGAAGGAUUGACAGAUUGAGAGCUCUUUCUUGAUUCAGUGGGUGGUGGUGCAUGGCCGUUUUUAGUCGGUGGAGCGAUUUGUCAGGUUAAUUCCGAUAACGGACGAGACUCUGACCUGAUAACUAGACGCACUUGCGGCAUCUCAAAGGUCCGCCGGCGGCCGGCUUUGCGCCCGUCGUCGCGCGCGAUUUUUACCGCCGGCGUACAAUAAAUUCUUCUUAGAGGGACAAGUGG
rnacentral:rRNA from 1 species